rnacentral:rRNA from 1 species
GAUGAACGCUGGCGGCGUGCCUAAUACAUGCAAGUCGAGCGAACGGACGAGAAGCUUGCUUUUCUGAUGUUAGCGGCGGACGGGUGUGUAACACGUGGAUAACCUACCUAUAAGACUGGGAUAACUUCGGGAAACCGGAGCUAAUACCGGAUAAUAUUUUGAACCGCAUGGUUCAAAAGUGAAAGACGGUCUUGCUGGCACUUCUAGAUGGAUCCGCGCUGCAUUAGCUAGUUGGUAAGGUAACGGCUUUCCAAGGCAACGAUGCGUAGCCGACGUGAGAGGGGGAUCGGCCACACUGGAACGGGGACAGGGACCAGACUCCUACGGGAGGCAGCAGUAGGGAAUCUGCCGCAAUGGGCGAAAACCUGACGGAGCAACGCCGCGUGAGUGAUGAAGGUCUUCGGAUCGUAAAACUCUGUUAUUAGGGAAGAACAUAUGUGUAAGGAACUGUGCACAUCGUGACGGUACCUAGUCAGAAAGCCACGGCUAACUACGUG